rnacentral:rRNA from 1 species
UACGUAGGGUGCGUGCGUUGUCCGGAAUUAUUGGGCGUAAAGAGCUUGUAGGCGGUUUGUCGCGUCUGCUGUGAAAAUCCGGGGCUCAACCCCGGACUUGCAGUGGGUACGGGCAGACUAGAGUGUGGUAGGGGAGACUGGAAUUCCUGGUGUAGCGGUGGAAUGCGCAGAUAUCAGGAGGAACACCGAUGGCGAAGGCAGGUCUCUGGGCCACUACUGACGCUGAGAAGCGAAAGCAUGGGGAGCGAACAGG